rnacentral:rRNA from 1 species
UGAGGAAUAUUGUACAAUGGGCGCAAGCCUGAUCCAGCCAUGCCGCGUGCAGGAAGAAGCAUCUAUGGUUUGUAAACUGCUUUUGUACGGGAAGAAACACUCCCUCGUGAAGGAGCUCGACGUUACCGUAAGAAUAAGGAUCGGCUAACUCCGUGCCAGCAGCCGCGGUAAUACGGAGGAUCCAAGCGUUAUCCGGAAUCAUUGGGUGUAAAGGGUCCGUAGGCGGUUUAAUAAGUCAGUGGUGAAAGCCCAUCGCUCAACGAUGGAACGGCCAUUGAUACUGUUAGACUUGAAUGAGAAAGAAGUAACUAGAAUAUGUGGUGUAGCGGUGAAAUGCUUAGAUAUUACAUGGAAUACCAAUUGCGAAGGCAGGUUACUACUUGUGGAUUGACGCUGAUGGACGAAAGCGUGGGGAGCGAACG